AUGAUUGCACUGGACGAUAGAUUUGCUUUUUGUGCUCAGGUGGAUGAUGACAACAGGCUAAAAUCACUAAUGUGGACUAGUGGAAGGAGUAGAUCAUUAUAUAAUCACUUUGGAGAUGCAAUAACUUUUGACACUACGUAUGGAACAAAUAUCUACAAAAUGCCAUUUGGUAUGUUUGUAGGGGUUAGUAACCACUUUGAGAGUGUAAUCUUUGCUGGAGUGUUCUUGACUAAUGAGAAGGAAGAGAAUUUCCGUUGGGCUUUUAAGCAAUUUGUUGCUAUGAUGGGUGGAAAACCACCAAUUACAAUUCUUACAGAUCAGGCUAGAGCCAUUGGAAAUGCAGUCAUUCAAGAGCUUCCUAAUGCAGAACAUAGAUGGUGCAAAUGGCACGUUCUGAAGAGGGCUCAUGAACUUCUGGGAGCUGUUUACAGCAAGCAUAAAACAUUUGCCGAUGAUUUCCAUAAGCUAGUCAACCACAUGCUAACUAUAAAGGAGUUUGAAGAUGCAUGGCAAUUUGUUACGGAAAAGUAUGGUUUACAGGAGCAUCCUUUCAUGACUAGAGCCUACGAGUGUAGGCACAAAUGGGCAAAACCAUACUUUAGUAAAGUAUUUUGUGCUAGAAUGUGUAGCACUCAACGUAGUGAAUGUGCAAACUUUAUGCUGAAGAUACAUAUUGUAUGUAAUUCUUCAAUAAAUGCAUUCAUUACACAGUACACAAAGCUUAUAGACGAUCGUGAGAGUUGUGAUGCAGAUGCUGAAAGGAAAAACAAACAGAAAAUAAUAAAGGUCCAUUUUGGAUAUCCAAUGGAGAAGCAUGCUUCAGUUAUAUAUACAGCAAAGGUUUAUAAUCUAUUCAAGAAGGAGCUCAUUAAGUCUACAUCAUACCUUGUGCUUCCUAGUCUGGAGGAACAUACAUUUGUUGUGAAGCAUGUCCAGGUGGAGGCUAGGGAAUCAUGGUCUAAAGUAAUUUACAAAAUCAAAGUAGAUGAGUCAAUUGGAUAUUACACAUGUGAAUGUGGACUUUACGAACAUUUUGGUGUUCUGUGUAGCCACGUCCUUGCGGUCUUUGUUAACAGAGGUGUGUGCAAAAUUCCUGAUUGUCACAUAAUGAAGCGGUGGACAAAGCAAGCUAGGUCAUCUAUUUUCAAUAAUAACUUGGAGAAAUAUAUUGGCGACACUAACGAGGAAUAG
rnacentral:rRNA from 1 species